rnacentral:lncRNA from 1 species
CUUCUUGAAAGUACCAGUUAAUUCAUGACAGCCCCUGUCCAAACCCAUCCUUAGCUUCCAGCCAGGCCUGGCAAGUCCCCCAGACUGAGCAUGGCCUCAAGGCCUCCCCGUGACCUAGGCUCUCCAGCUCCAGGUCCCCUCCCCCCGAUUCCCUGCCCUCAAGGCCCCGCCCCAGCUGUCACUCUCCUGCGUCUGCCUUGAGGAAACCCCAGGCCAGGAAGGAGCCCAGUGGACAGAGAGCUGGGACAGGGAGGCAGUUUCCCAUGCCCUGGGGAGCCAUCAGUGAAAGGAACAACAGUAACGCUGAGAAACAGGCCCUCCACUGGGGGCCAUUUGGCCAGGGCUCCGGCUGGCUGCCAAGCCGGGACUCGAGGCUGCCCCACGGAGUGAACGUGAGGACGAGAACUGAUCCCUUUCUCAGAAAGGACAGUUGGGAUAGGAAGGCAAAAGGGGCCUGCCCAGGCCCAGAGGUCGUCGGCGGGGCCCUGGGAUCAACCGACCGUCCAGGGCCUGCUCCUGGCCUUCAGGAAAACAACCAGCAGAAUCUGGAAGGCCCCACUGCCCACGAAAGCCAGAACCGCCACCGCAGGGACAAGGCCCGGGAGAUCGCAGCCCCAGAGGAGAGUGGACCCAUUUUUAUGCAUCAGAGUGAAGCCAAGAUCUCCUCGGAACACCUUGGAGUGACCCUGGCAGUUGGGGGCUCGGGGAGGGGACGGCUGGUGAGGGCCACAGGCAAUCUGCUCCUGGACUUGUUUCCCUCUGUCAGGCAUGAAAAGGAGCCCAGAGAAUUCGGACAAUUUCCCAACAGGCCACAGACCCUGACACCAGCCUCCCAAACACAACCCAGAUAAAGCCAAACGCAGACUCCGCCACGGUCCAGACACCUCGCACCGAUUUCCUCUCCGCGCCAGCGCCACGCCGCCAAAGGUCAUGUACGAGAUAGAAUUUGACACAAUAAGACUCCACUCCCAUGUUAAUGCCCCUCAGAUCGGGCCCGCGAAAGUGAAAUAAUAAAUUUAGGAAAACAAGCAGAAUGACCCGUCUGGUUGGUUGGUUUUUCUAGAUACGAUC